UAUCUUUAUGAAAAGCGUUAAAGCUUUUUUUUUCAAAAUAAAGUAGAAGAUUUUAUAUGAAAAUUUGAUGUUAUAAAGUAAAAUAAUGGAAAAUUUUAUAAGGUUAGAAGGUAUAAUGCUAAAAUUAGUAAGGAAAAAUAGGUUACUUGAGAAUUAAUUUGAGUCUAAUUUUGGAUGAAGAAACACAUAGAAAUACAAGAAAAUUGGUUUAUAUUUAUCGUCUUCCAACUCAGGAAACUAGGUUUUAUACAACUAAAGGAAAGGAACUCGGCAAAGUAAAUUUNNNNNNNNNNNNNNNNNNNNCGCUCCCUGAAAAUAAAAUUAAUAUAUAGGGGGUUCUGCCUGCCCAGUGACAAUAGUUAAACGGCCGCGGUAUUUUGACCGUGCAAAGGUAGCAUAAUCAUUUGCCUUUUAAAUGGAGGCUGGUAUGAAUGGCAAGACGGGAAUUUAGCUGUCUCUCUUUUAGUAUCUUGAAUUUAAUAUCUUUGUGAAGAAGCGAAGAUUAGUUCGUAGGACGAGAAGACCCUAUUGAGCUUAAGUUAAAAAUUAUUAACACAGAGGUUUUAUUUUUAGGCUAAUUAAAAAUAAAAGUAAUUUUAUCUUAAAAUAGAAGGGUGUUGUUUAAUUGGUACUUUGGUUGGGGCAAUCGCGGAGAAAAUUAAUCCUCCGAUAUAAAUUUGAAGCAAAAAAUUACUAUUUUAAAGUAAUAAUUAAAUUAUAAAAAAUGAUCCACUUGUUUAAAGUGAUCAAAGGAAAAAGUUACCRUAGGGAUAACAGCGUAAUUUUUUUGGAGAGUUCAUAUUGAUAAAAAAGUUUGCGACCUCAAUGUUGGAUCGGGACUUCCAGGAAAUGCAGCAGUUUCUAAGGGUUGGUCUGUUCGACCAUUAAAGUCCU
rnacentral:rRNA from 1 species